rnacentral:rRNA from 1 species
ACUCUGGUUGAUCCUGCCAGAGGCAACCGCUAUUGGAAUACGUUUAAGCCAUGCGAGUCGAGAGACUUAGGGUCUCGGCAAACUGCUCAGUAACACGUGGAUAACCUGCCCUCCGGAGGAGGAUAAACUCGGGAAACUGAGACGAAUACUCCAUAGGUUUUACAGGCUGGAAUGCAGUAAAACCAAAAGCUCCGGCGCCGGAGGAUGGGUCUGCGGCCUAUCAGGUCGUAGUGGGUGUAAAGGACUCACUAGCCGCCGACGGGUACGGGCCUUGGGAGAGGUCGCCCGGAGAUGGACUCUGAGACACGAGUCCAGGCCCUACGGGGCGCAGCAGGCGCGAAAACUUCGCAAUGCGGGAAACCGCGACGAGGGUAUUCCAAGUGCUAUUGCAAUGCAAUAGCUUUUCAAAAGCCUAAAAAGCUUUUGGAAUAAGGGCUGGGUAAGUCUGGUGCCAGCCGCCGCGGUAAUACCAGCAGCUCAAGUGGUGGUCGAUAUUAUUGAGCCUAAAGCGUCCGUAGCCGGACGGGUAAAUUCUUGGGUAAAUCGAACAGCUUAACUGUUCGACUUCCGGGAAGACUGCCUGUCUUGGGACUGGGAGAGGUCGGAGGUACUCUAGGGGUAGGGGUGAAAUCCUGUAAUCCUUAGAGGACCACCAGUGGCGAAGGCGUCCGACUAGAACGGGUCCGACGGUGAGGGACGAAGCCCAGGGGCGCGAACCGGAUUAGAUACCCGGGUAGUCCUGGGUGUAAACGCUACAGAUUUGGUGUUGGGGGUUCCAUGAGAGCGCCCAGUGCCGGAGAGAAGUUGUUAAAUCUGUCGCUUGGGGAGUACGGUCGCAAGACUGAAACUUAAAGGAAUUGGCGGGGGAGCACAGCAACGGGUGGAGCGUGCGGUUUAAUUGGAUUCAACACCGGAAAACUUACCGGGAGCGACGGUUAUAUGUGGGCCAGGCUGGUGACCUUGCCUGAAUUUCCGAGAGG